AGUGAACGCUGGCGGUAGGCCUAACACAUGCAAGUCGAACGGCAGCACAGUAAGAGCUUGCUCUUACGGGUGGCGAGUGGCGGACGGGUGAGGAAUACAUCGGAAUCUACUUUUUCGUGGGGGAUAACGUAGGGCAACUUACGCUACUACCGCAUACGACCUACGGGUGAAAGCAGGGGAUCUUCGUACCUUGCGCGAUUGAAUGAGCCGAUGUCGGAUUAGCUAGUUGGCGGGGUAAAGGCCCACCAAGGCGACGAUCCGUAGCGGGUCUGAGAGGAGGUCCAGCCAAACUGGAACGGAGCACCGGUCCAGACUCCUACGGGAGGCAGCAGAAGGGAACAUUGGACAAGGGGCGCAAGCCUGACGCAGCCAGACCGCGUGGGGGAAGAAGGCCUUCGGGUUGUAAAGCCCGUUUGUUGGGAAAGAAAAGCAGCAGGUUAAUACCCCGCUGUUCUGACGGUACCCAAAGAAUAAGCACCGGCUAACUUCGUG
rnacentral:rRNA from 1 species